CCUACGGGAGGCAGCAGUGGGGAAUAUUGGGCAAUGGGCGCAAGCCUGACCCAGCAACGCCGCGUGAAGGCAGAAGGCUUUCGGGUUGUAAACUUCUUUUAAGAGGGAAGAGCAGAAGACGGUACCUAUUGAAUAAGCAACGGCUAACUACGUGCCAGCAGCCGCGGUAAUACGUAGGUGGCAAGCGUUGUCCGGAUUGACUGGGUGUAAAGGGCGUGUAACCGGGCUGACAAGUCAGAUGUGAAAUCCCGUGGCUCAACCACGGAACUGCAUUUGAAACGGUCGGUCUUGAGUAUCGGAGAGGCAGGCGGAAUUCCUAGUGUAGCGGUGAAAUGCGUAGAUAUUAGGAGGAACACCAGUGGCGAAGGCGGCCUGCUGGACGACAACUGACGGUGAGGCGCGAAAGCGUGGGGAGCAAACAGGAUUAGAUACCCCAGUAGUC
rnacentral:rRNA from 1 species